rnacentral:lncRNA from 1 species
AAACGCCUCCUGACCCUGACGUGGCUGGGAGAGCUGCAGAAGUGCCGAGUCCCGGCCGGGGGCAGCCUCGCCGCCGCUCAGCUCGGGAAUCCCUGCCCCCCACCAGCACCUCAGUGGGGGAUACUGCAAGUUCAAGCACCAGCCUCACAGUAACAGCCGGCACACAGCACUUAGGCUGCCUGGUGUUCCAGAAGCUUCUGCAGGGGCUCUAUGCUGCACUCAAGGCAUCCCUAAGAGGAGAGCAUUUUGCUGUCCCCACUUUACGGAGAAGGAACGUGGGCUCAGGGUGGUUUAAGGCGUGAAUGAAUGAAGGAGCAAGCAGUAAGCCCCGACAGCAAGGCCACCACAGCCCUCGCCCCACAGGGACGCCUGAGCAAGGACCCAAGCAGGGGACAAGCAGGCUCACCCCGCCCUUGCGGGGCUGACCACGAGGCCCCGUCCGGUGGAACACGCCAUGACGCUUCAGGAGGCUCAUGUAGCUGGCGCCGUAUGGGACAGCGGGGGAGAGAGAAAAUGCACAGCCCAGGGAAUGUGGAGACAGGCCCAGCGCCAGGCAUGGGGGCCGGAAGGAGCAGCCGGGGAGCAGGGGGCAGGGCCUGGAGUCCCGCCUUGCAGAUCUGAACCUGCCCCAGCCCCAGGACUCUGAGUGCAGCAAGAGGGGAGCCGGGCUGGAGAGUGGGGAGCACGGAGACUGUGGCCUGGAUGGUGCCAGAGCAAACAGGAGAGAGGCUGCCCAACGCAGAGGCUGCAGCACAGACCAGAGGGUCCCGGGGCUGACUGGGUGGGGGCAGCUCCCAGCGAGAGGCCCCUGGGAUUUGGGUAAGUAGAGGCACAUGCAGACUCUGGCCACAGGGCACCUCGCGCACGAGGGGAGUUCACCACACAAGCUGAGCGGAGGGCGGACGCAGGAGAGCAGCGGUUUCUCGGAAGCCAAGGGCGGUCAUGGAGCCCCACGCCACAGCGCUUCCCACGGGGCCACACCAUCCGGUCUGCGGAGGGGGCUGCAUUGCCGGGAAGGACCAUCUGAUUCUGGAUUCCAGCCUCACCCUGGGCCACCGCUGAGUGUCCCAAGUGGCCCCUUAGCCCCCAGGGCCAGGCGGCAUCCCAAUCCCCUAGGGAUGUCUGUGCUCAGAAUGUGGCACACACGCCCCGGCAGGGCCAUCCUCCUCCUCCUGCACCCGCCACAGCCGUGGAUUCGGGGUCUCUAUCGUGGGCAGAAAUUCACACAGUCAAGGUGAGGGUCCCAGGAGCAGCUGUGACCAGGCCCCGGCUGCCAGGGAGAGGGGGUCUUCAGCCGACGGGGCAGACACCCUGAGAUGGACCCUUGUCCAGGGGAGGGCCCUGCCACCCACAAUUCCUUGGCAUUCCUGCACCAGCAGGACGGGCUGAGGGAGGCGCCUCACCAGUGCCAGCGCCCAGCAUCACUGUGCCCCGGUGGAGGGGGAGGCCCUUCCGAGCCUGGGCCUGGGUGUGGAUGAGGGCAGGUCUCUCACCUCUCUGACCUCAGCUUCCUCAACUGGGAAGGGGGGCCACAGCACCCCCUUAGGGGUGAUGAGGAAGUGGGAGCUCAGGGAGGACCCCGGGCAGGGCUGCCUCCUCACCUCUCUUCGGCCUUUGGACACUGGAGCUCAGAGGACCAAGUGAAUGAAUGAAUGACUCGAUCAAUCAACUGAUCCAUGAAUCCAUGGACCCCUGAACAGCUGGACAGCUGGGCUGUGGGCAGGACAGGGGACUCUGGCUGAAGCCGCGUUCAUAUGUGUUCAGCUUUAGGCCUCCACUGUGCCCGGACCAGCGGCCCACUCAGUGAGUCGAGUGUGCACCUGGCACCCCUCUUUCUGGAAAUCCACGAACAAUGGGCUCCCAGCAGAGGACUGAGGCUGAGCAGGCCACUUCCCUGGAGCUGACCCCACAGCUGUCCUGCUCCUCCUUCGCCUUCUGCCAUGACUGUAAGCUUUCUGAGGGCUGACCAGAAGCCCAGCAGAUGCCAGCACCAUGCUUCCUAUACAGCCUGCAGAACCGUGAGCCAGCUAAACCUCUCCUCAUAAAUCACCGAGCCCCAGGUUUAUCUUUACAGCAAUGCAAGACCUGACUAAUACAGCACCAGCUCCCCAAAAUAAAAAGAAAUAUUCAAACAAAUAAGCGCACAGAAGUGUUCCCAGCAGCACUAUUCACAGCAGCCAAAAGGCGGAGGAGCCACAGGCUUGUCAGCUGAUGACAGAUAAAGAAAGCAUGGCCUGUCAUCCCAGCACUUUGGGAGGCCGAGGUGGGUGGAUCACCUGAGGUUGGGAGUUCAAGACCAGCCUGGCCAACAUGGUGAAACCCAGUCUCUACUAAAAAUAUAAAAAUUAGCUGGGUGUGAUGAUGAGCGCCUGUAGUCCCAGCUACUUGGAAGGCUGAGGAACAAGAAUCGCUUGAACCCGGGAGGCAGAGGUCGCAGUGAACCGAGAUCAUGCCAUUGCUCUCCAGCCUGGGUAACAGAGUGAGACUCUGUCUCUAAAUAAAUGAAUAAAUAAAUGAAGUGCGGCAUAUCCAUGUGAGGGAAUAGCAUUCAGCCCUAAAAAGGGAUGACACGGGGACACGAGCGGUAACACGAAGUGCCUGAAAACCCUGCUCGGCGGGAGAAGCAGACACAGAGACCGCCGGUUGCAGGAUUCCGCUGAUAGGAGAUGCACAGAGCGGGCAGCUCCAUGGAGACAGAAAGCAGAUUCCGCGGUGCGGGGGCGGGGAGAGGAACGGGAGUGACUGCUUAAUGGGCUCCAGAGCUCCUCGGUGGGGGAUGAAAGUGUCUGGGAAGUAGACAGAGGUGGCGGCUGCACAGUGUGGCAAAUGUGCUACAUGCCACCGAACCACACUUGUUAAAGUGGUCAUUGUAUGUCGUGUGAAUUUCACCUCUGUUUAAAAAAAAAAAAAAAAAAAAGCCCAGCUCAGAGUCCAGCCCCAAACCUCUCUCAGUGACCUCUGCCCUGGGACACAGGGCCACCCAGACCGUGAGCUUGGGGCCCUUCAGGCUGCCCACUGAGGAGGGGCAGCUACUGCUGAGGUCUGACCUUGCCUCUCCUGAUGCCCCAGCCACAGUUGGGAGAGAGGCAGGGUGGGGGGUGGCUGCCCUCCUGGCCAAGGACACUGUCCCGGGGCCAGUCACAGGUUUGCCAGGGAGGGCCGUAAGACAACUCAGCAUUAGCACUGCCCAAGCCAGUCUGCUGCUGUCAUAUUCCCUGUGUGGGGACACAGUAAUGCCCACUCCCCCUAAGGAUGUACACGUCCCAGUCCAAGAACCCGUGGCCGUGCCACCUUAUGUGGCAGCAGGGACUCUGCAGGAGGGACGGAGCAGGAUCACACUGGAUGCUCUCUGUGGGCCCAGUGUCCUCACAGGGUCCUUAGGAGAGGGGGUGGGAGGGUCAGAGUCAGGGGGAGCCUGGAAGACAUAGCACAGAUGGCUUUAAAGGAGGGGCCACGGGUGAAGGCGCGGGAACCUCCAGACCCCGGAGAGGGCAGGACCCGGAUUCUCCCCAGGGCCUCCAGCAGCCAGCCCUUUCAACACAUGGACUUUAGAUUUAUUUCACUUUUGGGACUGCAAGAGAAUAAACUGUGACUUUUGUUACAGCAGCCA